rnacentral:tRNA from 1 species
GCGUAGCUCAGCCUGGUAGAGCGUUGCAUUUAGAAUGCAAGGGGCGCAAGUUCGAAUCCUGCCG